CAGGGUUUGAUUCUGGCUCAGAUUGAACGCUGGCGGGAUGCUUUACACAUGCAAGUCGAACGGCAGCACGGACUUCGGUCUGGUGGCGAGUGGCGAACAGGUGAGUAAUGUAUGGAACGUGCCUAGUAGCGGGGGAUAACCGCAGCGUAGCUAAUGCACCACCGCCGCACCCUUCGGGGAAAGCGGGGACCUUCGGGCCUCGCACUAUUAGAGCGGCCGAUAUCGGAUUAGCUAGUUGGUGGGGUAACGGCUCACCAAGGCGACGAUCCGUAGCUGGUUUGAAGAGGACGACCAGCCACACUGGGACUGAGACACGGCCCAGACUCCUACGGGAGGCAGCAGUGGGGAAUUUUUUGGACAAUGGGGAAACCCUGGUCAGCCAUCGCAUUGUGCGAUGAAGGCCUUCGGGUUGUAAAGCACUUUUGGCAGGAAAGAAACGGCGCAUCAAUACCCCGUGCAACUGACGUACCUGCAGAAUAAGCACCGGCUAACUACAUUGCCAGCAGCCACUUGAUAAUACGUAGGAGUGCAAGCGUUAAUCGGAAUUACUGGGCGUAAAGCGUGCGCAGGCGGUUCCGGAAAGAAAGAUGUGAAAUCCCAGAGCUUAACUUUGGAACUGCAUUUUUAACUACCGAGCUAGAGUGUGUCAGAGGGAGGUGGAAUUCCGCGUGUAGCAGUGAAAUGCGUAGAUAUGCGGAGGAACACCGAUGGCGAAGGCAACCUCCUGGGAUAACACUGACGCUCAUGCACGAAAGCGUGCAGGGAGCAAACAGGAUUAGAUACCCUGGUAAGUCCACGCCUAAACGAUGUCAACUAGCUGUUGGGGCCUUCGGGCCUUGGUAGUGCAACUAACGCGUGAAGUUGACCGCCUGGGAGUGAUCGCAAGAUUAAAACUCAAAGGAAUUGACGGGGACCACUGGCUUGGUGGAUGAUGUGGAUUAAUUCGAUGCAACGCGAAAAACCUUACCUACCCUUGACAUGUCUGGAAUCCCGAAGAAUUUGGGAGUGCUCGCAAGAGAACGGAACACAGGUGCUGCAUGGCUGUCAGUCGCUCGUGUCGUGAGAUGUUGGGUUAAGAAGUCCCGCAACGAGCGCAACCCUUGUCAUUAGUUGCUACGAGGCACUCUAAUGAGACUGCCGGUGACAAACCGGAGGAAGGUGGGGAUGACGUCAAAGUCCUCAUGGCCCUUAUGGGUGAAGACCGCACGUCAUACAAUGGUCGGGACAGAGGGUCGCCAACCCGCGAGGGAGCCAAUCCCAGGGAAACCCGAUCGUAGUCCGGAUCGCAGUCUGCAACUCGACUGCGUGAAGUCGGAAUCGCUGGUAAUCGCGGAUCAGCAUGUCGCGGGUAGACACGUUCCCAGGUCUUGUACACCGCCCGUCACACCAUGGGAGUGGGUUUUCCAGAAGUGAUUAGCUAACCGUAAGGAGGCGAUUACCACGGUAGGAUUCUUGACGCUGUUGAAGUCGUAACAAGGUAG
rnacentral:rRNA from 1 species